rnacentral:sRNA from 1 species
AGAUGAAAAUAGAGAGGAAAGGGUCAUCAGAUAGGAGCGAAAGACUAUGCUGAAGAUGUU